GUGCUCGCUUUGGCAGCACAUAUACUAAAAUUGUGAACGAUACAGAGAAGAUUAGCAUGGCCCCUGCACAAGGAUGACACGCAAAUUCAUGAAGCGUUCCAUAUUUAA
rnacentral:snRNA from 1 species